UUCGAUUCGAGCGAAGCGAGAAAGCGUUGCCGCAGGCAACGACCCGAAGGGCGAGGCACAACGCGCCGAGUAAUCCUUCCCCCACCACCA
rnacentral:sRNA from 1 species